UAGGGAAUCUUCCGCAAUGGACGAAAGUCUGACGGAGCAACGCCGCGUGAGUGAAGAAGGAUUUCGGUUCGUAAAACUCUGUUGUUAGGGAAGAAAAAAUGUAUAGUAACUAUAUACAAAAGAGACGGUACCUAACCAGAAAGCCACGGCUAACUACGUGCCAGCAGCCGCGGUAAUACGUAGGUGGCAAGCGUUGUCCGGAAUUAUUGGGCGUAAAGCGCGCGCAGGUGGUUUAGAAAGUCUGAUGUGAAAGCCCACGGCUCAACCGUGGAGGGUCAUUGGAAACUAAUAAACUUGAGUGCAGGAGAGAAAAGUGGAAUUCCUAGUGUAGCGGUGAAAUGCGUAGAGAUUAGAAGGAACACCGGUGGCGAAAGCGGCUUUUUGGCCUGCAACUGACACUGAGGCGCGAAAGCGUGGGGAGCAAACAGG
rnacentral:rRNA from 1 species